rnacentral:rRNA from 1 species
GACGAACGCUGGCGGCGUGCCUAAUACAUGCAAGUCGAACGCAUUUUCUUUCACCUUGGCUUGCUACCCCGAACGAAAAUGAGUGGCGAACGGGUUGGUAACCCUUCGUCAACCUGCCCAACAGCGGCGGAAAACACUUGGAAACAGGUGCUAAUACCGCAUAAUUCCAUUUUCCGCAUGGAAGGGGGGUGUAAGUCGCUCUUGCGUCACUGUUCGAUGGACCUGCGGUGCAUUAGCGGGUUGGGGGGGUAACGGCCUACCAAGGCUGCGAUGCAUAGCCGACCUGAGAGGGUGAUCGGCCACACUGGGACUGAGACCCGGCUCAGACUCCUACGGGAGGCAGCAGUAGGGGAUCUUCGGGAAUGGAGGGAAGUCUGACCGAGCAACGCCGCGGGAGGGAAGAAGGUUCUCGGAUCGUAAAACUCUGUUGUUAGGGAAGAACAAGGAGGGGAGUGGAAAGUGCAUCCCUUGACGGUAUCUAACCAGAAAGCCACGGCUAACUACGUG